GACGAACCGUGCGAACGUUGUUCGGAAUCACUGGGCUUAAGGGCGCGUAGGCGGCAGAUCAAGUCCGGGGUGAAAGCCUCCAGCUCAACUGGAGAAGUGCCUUGGAUACUGAUUUGCUCGAGGGAGGUAGGGGUCGAGGGAACUUCUGGUGGAGCGGUGAAAUGCGUUGAUAUCAGAAGGAACGCCGGUGGCGAAAGCGCUCGACUGGAUCUCUUCUGACGCUGAGGCGCGAAAGCUAGGGGAGCAAACGGG
rnacentral:rRNA from 1 species